AUGCAUCUAAAGAUUGCUUAUCUGCUUGAAACUCAUUACUAUACCUUCUUACUUUACUCUCGAUAUUUUCUUAAGUAUCUAUUCAAGAGUUACUUUCUACCACAUUCCCUGAGUUAUCCGCCAGAUAGUCAACCUUGUAAGGCUCGUUCUUCCGAAGUUACCCUUUGUCCUUUUGUAAGUACUAUGAAGUUCCCGAAGAAAGGAUACCUACUUCAUCAUGAUGACCUGAAGCAGAGAAAUGAAGACAUCAAUUUAAUGGAUCGACCUCUUCGAGAAGAGCAACCAAGACCGAGAAUUCGUUAG
rnacentral:rRNA from 1 species